CAGAACCUACAAAGAACUCAAUCAAAUUUACAAGAAAAAUACAACCCCAUCAAAAAGUGGGCAAAGGAUAUGAAGAGACAUUUCUCAAAAGAAGACAUUCAUACAGCCAACAGACACAUGAAAAAAUGCUCAUCAUCACUGGCCAUCAGAGAAAUGCAAAUCAAAACCACAAUGAGAUACCAUCUCACACCAGUUAGAAUGGCGAUCAUUAAAAAGUCAGGAAACAACAGGUGCUGGAGAGGAUGUGGAGAAACAGGAACACUUUUACACUGUUGUUGGGAGUGUAAACUUGUUCAACCACUGUGGAAGACAGUGUGGUGAUUCCUCAAGGAUCUAGAACUAGAAAUACCAUUUGACCCAGCCAUCCCAUUACUGGGUAUAUUCCCAAAGGAUUAUAAAUCAUGCUGCUAUAAAGACAGAUGCGGGGAGACGCACCCGCUUCCAAAAUGGCGGCGGCGGCGGCCGUGUCUGGUGCGCUUGGCCGGGCCGGCUGGAAGCUCCUGCAGUUGCGGUGCCUGCCUGUGACCCGUUGCCGACCAGCCCUGGUGCCACAUGCCUUCCAUGCUUCAGCUGUGGGGCUAAGGUCUUCCGAUGAGCAGAAGCAGCAGCCUCCCCCUUCAUUUUCUCAGCAGCGUUCUGAGACACAGGGGGCAGGAAAACCUGAUCCAGAGUCUUCUCAUCCACCCCCCAGGUAUACAGACCAGGGCGGCGAGGAGGAGGAAGGCUAUGAAAGUGAGGAGCAGCUGCAGGACCGCAUCCUGACGGCAGCCCUGGAGUUCGUGCCCACCCACGGGUGGACAGCAGAGGCGAUUGCAGAAGGAGCCCAGUCUCUAGGUCUGUCCAGUGCAGCAGCCAGCGUGUUUGGGAGGGAUGGCAGUGAACUAAUACUGCAUUUUGUGACCGAGUGCAAUGCCCGGCUCACACGCGUGCUGGAAGAGGAGCAGAAGCUGGUACAGUUGGGCCAGGCCGAGAAGAAGAAGACAGACCAGUUCCUGAGGGAUGCAGUGGAAACCAGACUGAGAAUGCUGAUCCCAUACAUUGAGCACCGGCCCCAGGCCCUCAGCGUCCUCAUGCUCCCUCACAACAUCCCAUCCAGCCUGAGCCUGCUCACCAGCAUGGCGGAUGACAUGUGGCAUUACGCUGGGGACCAGUCCACUGAUUUUAACUGGUACACCCGCCGAGCCAUGCUGGCUGGCAUCUACAACACGACAGAGCUGGUGAUGAUGCAGGACUCCUCUCCAGACUUUAAGGACACUUGGCGCUUCCUGGAAAACCGGAUUAAUGAUGCAAUGAACAUGGGCCACACUGCCAAGCAGGUAAAGUCCACAGGAGAGGCACUGGUGCAAGGACUCAUGGGUGCAGCGGUGACGCUCAAGAACUUGACAGGUCUAAACCAGCGUCGGUGAGAGGAAAGGGUGUAAGCUACAAUGCCUAGAAGAGAAUGAGUGGACAGAUUGAAAGAGCUUUGAAAAGUAUGAGGUGCCAUCCGUGUAACGUGGUGUUCAUGAGAACACACUAAAGGACCCCUGAGACACUACCACAGCCACCUGGAAACCACAAGGCAUUUGAUGCUACCGUUCUGGUCAGGGAUUGGGCCGCUUCUUCAGUUCCUAAUACCAGACCAAGCCUCCUGAUGCCUUUCUGCACUGCAAUUGUGUGAUUGAAAAAUGAGAUGUUCAUCCAAGCAGUCAAGCCACAGAAACCCAGCAUGUCCCUGUUACGAUCUCAUGGGCACCUUGAUCAUGUCUUAACCUUCCAUUAACCUUGGGGCUCCCAAGCCAGAGUCAAGGUGACGCAUGCCUCAUGCCACCUCAAGGUGACAGCUCAUCCCCAGCACAGCACAGGCGUGUGCACACAGAGGUGUUCCUUGCACCCCCCUUCCCUCUCAGGUGUCCUGAGAUGCUACUCCUGGGAAACCCCUCAGAAAACUGCCUCACCUGAGACAAGUGCCUGCUGGACAGAGGUGUGAUCCCAG